rnacentral:rRNA from 1 species
AACAAACGCUGGCGGCGUGCCUAACACAUGCAAGUCGAACGCGAAAGGGACUUCGGUCCUGAGUAAAGUGGCGCACGGGUGAGUAACGCGUGGGUAAUCUGCCCCUCAGUUGGGAAUAACCCAUCGAAAGGUGGGCUAAUACCGAAUAAUGCUGUAUCGCCUCGGUGAUCCAGCCAAAGACGGCCUCUGCUUGCAAGCUGUCGCUGAGAGAUGAGCCCGCGUACCAUUAGCUUGUUGGUGGGGUAAUGGCCUACCAAGGCGACGAUGGUUAGCUGAUCUGAGAGGAUGAUCAGCCACACUGGAACUGAGACACGGUCCAGACUCCUACGGGAGGCAGCAGUGAGGAAUCUUGCGCAAUGGGGGAAACCCUGACGCAGCAACGCCGCGUGAGUGAGGAAGGCC